GGCCGGAGAAGGAAAAAAGUUGCAGGCCCGAACUCUGCCCCCUGCUGGCCGUCAGCGGGAUUGCAGAGGCUCCUUCUUGAGUAGCUGGGACAACAGUCCUAGGCCACCAGGCUCAAGCCCCACUCCACAUCUAUUGGAAAGAGGCUGCUACUGUAUUGCAGGCCAGAGUCUACAGCCUGAGAAGAACCAAGACCACCCAUCACCAUCACCACCCCAAUCUGGCUAUCACCAUACAUUCUCUCCUCCAAAGCUGUUAUCCUCUGCCUCUAAGUGCUCUGACAUGGCCCAGCUGACCUGGUGUCACUUGGACCCUUCAGAAUUUGAAAUGAUUGAAUGUGAGAUUUGUGCGCAGUUGGCGUUCUAGAGUGGGAGACCACACCCGAGGAAGACCACAUUUAGAGGAGUGAAAAUUGGAUGCUUAUAUAAAGAACUGAAGAAGUUCAGGUAAUAAAUAGUCUUAAGAAAAAUAUUCCAAAAGUAAGUUUCCUAAAAGCUUGAGAAAACUACAUACAAAACUACCAAGAUACCUGCAUAAAAAAUCAAAAUAAAACUGACGCUCACAGAAGGCUGAAGACUAGCUGGU
rnacentral:lncRNA from 1 species